ensembl:lncRNA
AUGUAUUGGGGGGGGGGGGGGCUCACAGGGAGUAUGGCCACGCCAGGUAGGAGACCUGCGCAAACUCCCUGUGCUUACCGGGGGGCUAGAGAGACCGGGCAGGCACCGUGUUAUGCAGUGGUGCAAACGGUGUCCCCAGUGCAGGUGCAUAGUCCGGUGCGAUAUAUUCCAGCUCCUCGUAUCGGCCGGGCUAGAGUGGGCAUCGAGCCAGGUAAGGUUGGGCAGGCUCGGUGCUCAAGAGCUCCAGUGCGCCUGCACGGUCCGGUCUAUCCAGUACCACCUCCACACCCCAGCCCUCCGGUAGCAGCUCCCCGCACCAGGCUUCCUGUGUGUGUCCUCGGUCCAGUACCACCAGUACCAGCACCACGCACCAGGCCUACAGUGCGCCUCGCCUCUCCUGCGCUGUCGGAGUCUGCCGCCUGUUCAGCGCUGCCAGAGCCUUCCUCCUCUACAGCGCUGCUGGAUUCUCCCGCCUGUUUAGCGCAGCCAGAGCCUUUCUCCUCUCCUGCGCUGCUGGAGUCUCCUGCCUGUUCAGCGCAGCCAGAGCUGCCAGCCUGCAUGGAGCAGCCUGAACUGUCAGUCUGCAAGGAGCUGCCAGCCUGCAUGGAGCAGCCAGAGCUGCCAGCCUGCAUGGAGCAGCCAGAGAUGCCAGUGUGCAAGGAGCUGCCAGUCUGCAAAGAGCUGUCAGUCUGCAAGAAGCCGCCAGAGCCGUCAGUCUGCAUGGAGCAGCCAGAGCCGUCAGUCUGCAUGGAGCUGCCAGUCUGCAAGGAGCUGCCAGUCUGCAAGGAGCUGCCAGUCUGCAAGGAGCUGCCAGUCUGCACGGAGCUGCCAGUCUGCACGGAGCUGCCAGUCUGCACGGAGCUGCCAGUCUGCACGGAGCUGUCAGUCUGCAAGGAGCUGCCAGUCUGUAAGGAGCUGCCAGUCUGCAAGGAGCUGCCAGUCUGCACGGAGCCGCCAGAGCUGCCAGUCUGUAAGAAGCCGCCAGAGCUGUCAGCCUACAUGGAGCAGCCAGAGCCGUCAGUCAGCAUGGAGCAGCCAGAGCCGCCAGUCAGCAUGGAGCAGCCAGAUCUUUCAGUCUGCCAGGAUCCGCCAGUCAGCCAGACUCUUCCAGAUCUGCCAGUCAGCCAGACUCUUCCAGAUCUGCCAGUCAGCCAGACUCUUCCAGAUCUGCCAGUCAGCCAGACUCUUCCAGAUCUGCCAGUCAACCAGACUCUUCCAGAUCUGCCAGUCAACCAGACUCUUCCAGAUCUGCCAGUCAACCAGACUCUUCCAGAUCCGCCAGUCGGCCAGGAUCCGCCAGUCGGCCAGGAUCCGCCAGUCGGCCAGGAUCCGCCAGGAUCUGCCAGUCAGCCAGGAUCUGCCAGUCAGCCAGGAUCUGCUGAAACCACCAGCCAGCCAGGAUCUGGUAGAUCUACCUACCUGCCUGAGCUUCCUCUCACUCCUGAGCUUCCUCUCACUCCUGAGCUUUCUCUCACUCCCGAGCUGCCUCAGUCCCGAGCUGUCCUUCAGUCCCGAUCUGCUCCUCAGUCCCGAUCUGCUCCUCAGUCCAGUGGGGUUCUGGGUGAGGACUACUAG